GACGAACGCUGGCGGCGUGCCUAAUACAUGCAAGUAGAACGCUGAAGGAGGAGCUUGCUUCUCUGGAUGAGUUGCGAACGGGUGAGUAACGCGUAGGUAACCUGCCUGGUAGCGGGGGAUAACUAUUGGAAACGAUAGCUAAUACCGCAUAAGAGUAGAUGUUGCAUGACAUUUGCUUAAAAGGUGCAAUUGCAGCACUACCAGAUGGACCUGCGUUGUAUUAGCUAGUUGGUGGGGUAACGGCUCACCAAGGCGACGAUACAUAGCCGACCUGAGAGGGUGAUCGGCCACACUGGGACUGAGACACGGCCCAGACUCCUACGGGAGGCAGCAGUAGGGAAUCUUCGGCAAUGGACGGAAGUCUGACCGAGCAACGCCGCGUGAGUGAAGAAGGUUUUCGGAUCGUAAAGCUCUGUUGUAAGAGAAGAACGAGUGUGAGAGUGGAAAGUUCACACUGUGACGGUAUCUUACCAGAAAGGGACGGCUAACUACGUG
rnacentral:rRNA from 1 species